rnacentral:rRNA from 1 species
GACAGAGGAUGCAAGCGUUAUCCGGAAUGAUUGGGCGUAAAGCGUCUGUAGGUGGCUUUUUAAGUCCGCCGUCAAAUCCCAGGGCUCAACCCUGGACAGGCGGUGGAAACUACCAAGCUGGAGUACGGUAGGGGCAGAGGGAAUUUCCGGUGGAGCGGUGAAAUGCGUAGAGAUCGGAAAGAACACCAACGGCGAAGGCACUCUACUGGGCCAUUACUGACACUGAGAGACGAAAGCUAGGGGAGCAAAUGGG